GAUUUUCUUUGUCUUGACAUUUCUUCUCAAAUUUAUCAUUCUUUGUCUAAAAAGCAUAAAAGCAUCUUGCUUUGGCCACUUUUUAAUUUUCUUUCUUGUGAAGAUCCCCACGUACAUGUAAAAUGAAUAAGAUUUGUAUGUUUUCUCUUGUUAAUCUGCCUGGUGUCAAUUUGGUUUCUAGAUCCAGCUGGAAGAACUUGCAUAAGAGCUUAAGGAGAAUUGGAAGUGAUCUCUGAUUUUCCUAGGGAAGAUAACUUGAGAUUGAGUAUCUUGUUUCUAAACAUAAAUUGUUGAUGUGUUGGCAAGUACAACUUCUAUCUUUAAUAAAAGUUGCCGUGGAUUCUCUCAACGAUGCACACUUAAAUGCAGACUAAAAGUAAAUAUUGAUCUUUUGGGAUUUAUCUUCAUUUUUCCUGUCUUCCUUUCCUUGGCUUUUAAAGAUCACUUCAC
rnacentral:lncRNA from 1 species